rnacentral:rRNA from 1 species
GACGAACGCUGGCGGCGUGCCUAAUACAUGCAAGUAGAACGCACAGUUUAUACCGUAGCUUGCUACACCAUAGACUGUGAGUUGCGAACGGGUGAGUAACGCGUAGGUAACCUGCCUGGUAGCGGGGGAUAACUAUUGGAAACGAUAGCUAAUACCGCAUAAUAUUAAUUAUUGCAUGAUAAUUAAUUGAAAGGUGCAAUUGCACCACUACCAGAUGGACCUGCGUUGUAUUAGCUAGUAGGUGAGGUAACGGCUCACCUAGGCGACGAUACAUAGCCGACCUGAGAGGGUGAUCGGCCACACUGGGACUGAGACACGGCCCAGACUCCUUCGGGAGGCAGCAGUAGGGAAUCUUCGGCAAUGGACGAAAGUCUGACCGAGCAACGCCGCGUGAGUGAAGAAGGUUUUCGGAUCGUAAAGCUCUGUUGUAAGAGAAGAACGGGUGUGAGAGUGGAAAGUUCACACUGUGACGGUAUCUUACCAGAAAGGGACGGCUAACUACGUG